rnacentral:rRNA from 1 species
GAUGAACGCUGGCGGCGUGCCUAAUACAUGCAAGUCGAGCGAAUGGAUUGAGAGCUUGCUCUUAUGAAGUUAGCGGCGGACGGGUGAGUAACACGUGGGUAACCUGCCCAUAAGACUGGGAUAACUCCGGGAAACCGGGGCUAAUACCGGAUAACAUUUUGAACCGCAUGGUUCGAAAUUGAAAGGCGGCUUCGGCUGUCACUUAUGGAUGGACCCGCGUCGCAUUAGCUAGUUGGUGAGGUAACGGCUCACCAAGGCAACGAUGCAUAGCCGACCUGAGAGGGUGAUCGGCCAUACUGGGACUGAGACACGGCCCAGACUCCUACGGGAGGCAGCAGUAGGGAAUCUUCCGCAAUGGACGAAAGUCUGACGGAGCAACGCCGCGUGAGUGAUGAAGGCUUUCGGGUCGUAAAACUCUGUUGUUAGGGAAGAACAAGUGCUAGUUGAAUAAGCUGGCACCUUGACGGUACCUAACCAGAAAGCCACGGCUAACUACGUGCCAGCAGCCGCAGUAA